ensembl:lncRNA
GUAAAAUCCACGCAGAUGAAGCAAAUGGAUCUUUUAAGAAAAGAGAUACUAAUUGUAUGUUUUAGUGUGUUAAUACAGGUGGAUUUCUCUCAACAUGGAAACUUGAGUACAGCGGCAAAAGGAUAGAUUAACAGAAUUGGGAGGACAAACAGGCCAGGCUUUGGCUUAAAAGUUUACAGCUUGACCUCUCACUUUGUCCCCACCCUGAGAAGAAGCUUAAAGGACAAUUAAUUUCCUGAUGAAGACCGAGAAAACAUCGUGGACUUGAAGAGUUAACAGCAGGCAAAAGACAAUGCAAGUGACCCAUAACACUGAAGGGUCCAGCAGCAUGUAUGAAUAUCACUGAUGGAACAUGAGCUUUGAACUACAAGCUGGAAACCUGUCAAGUGACAAGACUGUUUGAAGCCACUGGAUGUUAUUUUGCCAGGCUGGGAGUUAACCUACAAGGAAGACACAGAGAAGAAGAAACCGCUGAAUUGGUGACUGUAUUUGUUGGAGAUUUUAAGGCCACACAGGACACUGCGGGCGGGCGUACAGGAUAUAAUUGAAUUGAAAUUGAAGGCUGAACUUAUGAUGGUUUAGGGAUGUCCACCACAUGACAACAAAGAGGCUGCUUUGCCAGCCCGGAAAGCCGAGGCUGACCUGGACUCCUGCUCUCCCCUCUACCAUCUUUGAUGUGACCCUGACCAAAUGCUGCAGCAGCUGGAUCCACAACAACAACAACCUGAAAAUGUAAACAGUGCUGCAGGAAAGCGAUCUCAUGCAGCAGAGACGGAGAGCGUUAAAUCCAAGGCUCGUUUCACUACACGGGGGAAAUUUCCAGACAGCUUCAGCUGACGGAGCUGUGACGAGACGCCCAGUAGGCCCGAAUGAAAAGUGGGGCCGAGCAAAAGAAUGCUGACCUUAAUAACUCUGCAUUUAACACUGUGCAGGACAAUGAUGGACCAACACAAAUGAUCGGGCAGCAAAAAGGGCGUGCCAGAGACAGGAGGAGUAACUGAGGUCAGGAGGCACCUCAGAAUGGACAGAAGCACCAGAAGAAAAAAUAAGCUGAAGGCACAGGUGUCGGGGCUCGGCCAGGAGCUGACUUCUGAGAAGAGCCGGACAGCAGAGCUGCAGAAGGCCUUGGAGCAAAGCAAGGAAAACAUCAAUAAGCUUCAAUAUGACGUGUACGGAAAAGACUCUGAGGUUUCUGCCCUCAGUAAGAGCUCAAGGCAUCAGAGCAGAAACUGAGCAGGGCUCAGGAGGAGCUGGACAAGGAGAAGAUGCAGGUUGCACUUCCGGUGAACAUGGACACUGGAGAAAAGGACUGCCUGAUUUGGGGCCAGAACCAGGACAGACUGAACUUGACCUAGCUUUGUCCUUGAAUUGUUUUCGAGAGUGCAUGUGCGAGGUCAAGCAAUGGCUCCUGGCAAAUACUCUUAUCCUUAAUGAUAAGAAAACUGAAAUUGUGGUCUUUGGCAGUAACGUUCUUCGUGCCCAACUUCGUGAUGCUUUUGGUUUUCUCACUAGUUCCUUUUCUGACACUGCUAGGAAUCUGGGCGUGUUACUUGACAGCUCGUUUAAACUUGAUAAACAAGUGUCUGCUGUUGUUAGAUCCAGUUUUUACCAACUCCGCCUUAUUUCUA